UACGUAGGGUGCGAGCGUUGUCCGGAAUUAUUGGGCGUAAAGAGCUCGUAGGCGGUGUGUCGCGUCGGCCGUGAAAACCUGGGGCUCAACUCUGGGCGUGCGGUCGAUACGGGCAUCACUUGAGUUCGGCAGGGGAGACUGGAAUUCCUGGUGUAGCGGUGAAAUGCGCAGAUAUCAGGAAGAACACCAAUGGCGAAGGCAGCUCUCUGGGACGGUACUGACGCUGAGACGCGAAAGCGUGGGGAGCGAACAGG
rnacentral:rRNA from 1 species